rnacentral:rRNA from 1 species
GACGUAGGAGCGAGCGUUGUCCGGAUUCAUUGGGCGUAAAGAGCACGCAGGCGGUUUGGCAAGUCGGAUGUGAAAACCCGAAGCUCAACUUCGGGCCUGCAUCCGAAACUGCCCGACUAGAGGUAGGUAGGGGAGAUCGGAAUUCCUGGUGUAGCGGUGAAAUGCGCAGAUAUCAGGAGGAACACCGGUGGCGAAGGCGGG